CUGGAUCUCAAAAGACUUUAUUGGGGGUGGAAUGGGAGGGGGUGACAUGCACAGGAUGAGAAAAUUCAUUCCAUCCAGGACAACGUAGGGACUCCAUGGAAAAGGGCCUGUUUUCCAUCCCGGGUCUUCAAAGGAAAAGCUCUCCAGCCAGGCAGGGAGUGGGCCCCAGCUGCAGGGCAAGGUCUGAGGGAGGAGAUUUUACUAUCUCUGGAGACAAAAGGACUUUUGUGUGCUAUGAUCCCUGGGUGGGAUGGUGGGGGGAGAGGGGAAAUGGUUUAUUGGAAUGAGAGUAAGAUUAUAUGGGAGAAAAAGAAUCAGAGAUGCAGAGACCAAAACAAAAACAGGCAGAGAUAGAACGGACAGUAGACAAAAGAGAGAGAGACCGAGGCAGAGAUAGAGAAAAAAAGGCCCAGAGAGAGUCCCCUCAGGCCAACUUUGGUUUUCACUUCUCAGUUCUGAGAGCCGAGGAAGCAGGAAGGAGCUGUGAGAGACUGAGCUCUAACCUUGGCCAUCAAAGACAAGCUGUGCAGCUCUGGUUUUUUGAGGGCAGGACAUGGAGGGUCAGGCCCAGCUGGAGGCGCACCAAAGCCCAGAGAAAAUUCAGAACCACGUGAACUUGUUGGAUUUCAGCCCCUUGAAGCACAUGUUGCUAUUGCAGCUGCCUUGAUAACUGGGGGGACAGGAGGAGCACGGCUUUCCCAUCUUGUACGGGGACUCGCCAAUCCAGUUGCCCCUGGAAGAGAAAAGGACCCAGGGAGACAGAGGAGCAUUAGGUGAGUAACCUUCACACAGAUGUCCAGAUCUCAGCGCUGCCACUGACCAGCCCUGGGGACCUGGGGCAAGUCACAUCUGCAAGCCUUGGUUUCUUUUUUUUCUUUCCUUUAUUUAUUUAUUUAUUUAUUUUGUUUUGCUCUGUCACCCAUAGCUCACUGCAGCCUUGACGUCCUGGGCUCAAGCAAUCCUCCCAACUCAGCUCAGUCUUCUGAGUAGCUAAGACUACAGGCACAUGCUACCAUGCCCAGCUAAUUUUUUAUUUAUUUGCAGAGAUGGGGGGUCUCCCUAUACUGCUCAGGCUGGUCUCAAACUUCUGGACUCAAGCAGUCCUCCUGCCUCAGCCUCCCAAAGUGCUGAGAUUACAGUCAUGAGCCACUGUGCCCAACCUGUAAGCCUUGGUUUCUCCUGUAAAACCAAGAGAAGAGCCUCCUCUCUCUCUAAGGAAUUCAGCAAAGAUCACAUGUAUGUAUGCACCUAGCACUGUGCCUAGUUAAUUAGUGGCUCCCUUGUAAGGGUUGAUUUUCUUAUUCUUUUUGUUUGUUUUGUUCUGAGAGGGAGUCUCGCUCUGUCACCCAGUCUGGAAUGCAAUGGUGCGAUCUUGGCUCACUGCAGCCUCCGCCUCCUGGGUUCAAGCAAUUCUCGUGCCUCAGCCUCCUGAGUAGCUGGGAUUAUAGGCAUGUGCCACCACACCUGGCUAAUUUUUGUAUUUUUAGUACAGACAGGGUUUCACCAUGUUGGCCAGGCUGGUCUCGAACUCCUGACCUCAAGUGAUCUGCCCACCUUGGCCUCCCAAAGUGCUGGAAUUACAGACGUGAGCCACCGCGCCCAGCCUUUUUCUCCCUCUUUCUCCUUUCAAAGCCUAAAAUUGUUCCUCCAGCUCUUGCUCAUGGCUGCCUAAUAAUCUCACCACUGGCCUGUGGCAUUCUUUGCCAAGCCCCAGUGCCUUGUUUUCUCACCUUAAAUGAACACACCUUUGAGCAGAAAUAUAAUCUUUUUUCUCCAAACGUGAUUGUUGAGUGACCAUGAGUGAAAUCAGCUGAAGUGCUCAGAAAAAUACUCACUUCUGGUUUCCUAACAGGACUCAUUCAAUCAUUUAGUCAUUCAACAAACACUUCUGGAGCACCUAUUGAACAUCAGGAUUUGUGCCGGCUGCUGUCAGUCCACAGUUCUCAAAAGGUGCUCUCAGAAGUUUGGGGGCGGGGAGAGUGGGUGGUGGUGAUACCUGGGAUGACAUGGAGUUCUUUUUUUGUUUAAUUUAACCACUUAGAAAAAAGUUCUGCUUAAAAAAACAAAGGAUUGCAAUCACUAUAGUAGAAGGAUAUAGAAAUGAAAACGGUCGAUUUCCCAUGCCCAAGAGUUUAUAACUUGGUUCUAGUCAUGGCCACCAUUUAUUUAGCAUGUACUAUGGGCAAGGCACCACAGAGGCUAUUUUUAUUUUAUUUUAUUUUAUUUUAUUUUAUUUUAUUUUAUUUAUUUUAUUUUAUUUUACUUUGAGAUAGAGUCUCGCAUUGUCGCCCAGGCUAGAGUGCAGUGGCAUGAUCUCAGGUCACUGCAGACUCCGCCUCCCGGGUUCAAGCGAUUCUCCUGCCUCAGGGACGCACCUCCAUGCCCGACUAAUUUUUGUGCUUUUAGUAGAGAUGGGAUUUCACUAUGUUGGCCAGGCUGGUCUCGACCUCCUGACCUCAGGUGAUCCACUUGCCUCGGCCUCUCAGAGUGCUGGGAUUACAGGCGUGAGCCACCACACCUGGCCUCACAUUAUAUUUUAAUCCUUAAAUUCUGUGAGCAGGUAGCAUUUACCUUAAAGGGGCUGGGCUUGGUGGCUCGUGCCUGUAGUCCCAGCACUUUGGGAGACUGAGGUGGGCAGAUUGCUUGAGCCCAGGAGUUCCAGACUAGCCUGGGCAACAUGGCGAGACCCCCGUCUCUACAAAAAACAAAAACAAAAAACAAAACAUAAGCCAGGUGUGGUGGUGAACGCCUGUAGUCCCAGCUACUGGGGAGGCUGUGGUGUGAGGAUUGCUCGAACCAGGAACGUGGAGGUUGCAGAGCUGAGAUUCUGCCACUGCACUCCAGCCUGGGUGACAGAGCUGGACAGAAGAAAAGAAAGGAAAGGAAAGGAAAGGAAAGGAAAGGAAAGGAGAAAGGGAAAAGGAGAAAGGGGAAAAGGGAAAGGAAAAAGGGAAAAGGAAAGGGGAAGGAAAGAAAGGAAGGGGAAGGGGAAGGCCGAAGCCUGUCAAGAUAAAAUGAUGUAUUCAAAUGCUUAGUAGAUGCAUUGCAGAGGGGAAUCAAACCUAGGCCUGGUAAUAACAAUAGUAACCAAUCUGUAUUUCCCACUUAUGAGCCUGGGGGCAUUACCUGUGUUAUCUCACUCAAUUCCAAGAUUGGGUAUUAUUUUAUUCCCAUUUUGCAGAUGAAGAAACAGGAGUAGAGAAGUUAAGUAAGAUCACACAUUUGAACCCUGGUAGUCUUGGCCCCAGAGGCUAAAAAUCUUAACAACUAUACUGAUAACACUCAAUGCUUCAAACAUUUGAUAUGUCAACAAACAAACUAGAAAACUUGAGCCUGGGAGGUUGAGGCUGCCGUGAGCUGUGACCAUGCCACUGUACUUCCGAGCCUAGGUAACACAGCAAGACCCUGCCUCCAAAAAAAAAAAAAAAAAAAAAAAAAUUAGACGCUAUUUGUAAUGAAAUUUGGUUUCUUGUAUUUUUCUGUCUCUGAUAAAGCUGGGCUGUAACGUGACACAUUGUCAAUAGAUGCCAUUUCUAACAAAUAACAAGUAUCCUGUUUUGAGAAUUUGUUUCAGGCUACUAAUGACUUCAAGAACAUCAGAAUAAUACAAUAGAAAGAAUUUGGAAUUUGGAAUCAAAAGACUGAUUCUUCUGAACCAGCUCUACUACUUGUUGGCUUUGUGACAUUUGGUAAAUUACUCAACCUGCCUGAGCCUCAAUUUCUUAAUUUGUAAAAAGAAUGUCCUCCUAGGGUUCCCCCCUUUUUCCUUCUUUCUUUCAUCUCUUCAAUGAGAUAGUGUGAAAGUAGUUUGUAAAUGAUUAAAGGCUAUGUGACAGUAAAAUGUGGUUAUUAUAUAAUUUUGGAAUUCUAGGGCAGGCACGGUGGGUGGCUCACACCUAUAAUCCCAGCACUUUGGGAGUCCAAGUAGGGAGAUUGCUUGAGGCCAGGAGUUCAAGACCAGCCUAGGCAACAUAAUGAGCCCCCCAUCUCUACAAAAAUGUUAAAAAUUAGCCAGGUGUAAUGGUGCAUGCCUGUACUCCCAGCUACUCAGGAGGGUGAGGCGGGAGGAUUGCUUGAACCCAGGAGUUGGAGGCUGCAGUGAGCUAUGAUCUGGCUAUUGCACUCCAGCCUGGGCGACAGAGCAAGACCUCGUCCCCCCCCAAAAAAAAAAGAAAAAAGAAAAAAAGAAAUUCUAAAUAUCAUGUUUACUUAGAAUUUGUUCUUGUUUUGUUUUUGUUGUUGUUGUUGUUUGAGACGGAGUCUUGCUCUGUUGCCCAGGCUGGAAUGCAGUGGUGUGAUCUCAGCUCGCUGCAACCUCCACUUCUGAGGCUCAAGCGAUUCUCCUGCCUCAGCCUCCCAAGUAGCUGGGAUUACAGGCACGCGCCACCAUGCCCAGCUAAUUUUGGUAUUUUUGGUAGACACGAGGUUUUGCCAUGUUGGCCAGGCUGGUCUCAAACUCCUAACCUCAGGUGAUUCACUCGCCUCAGCCCCCCAAAGUGCUGGGAUUGCAGGUGUAAGACACUGCUCCUGGCCUGUUCUUGUUUUUCUAUGAGAAUCUGGAACGUCUGCAAGUUUCAUUACGCUUGCUCCCUGUUUCCAAGAGGCUUGUAUGCAGGCAUCUCCUAAACUCUCCCACCCAGCAAACUGGAGAAGCUAAGCACACUCAUUCCUCCUUCCUUUUCUUUGGGAUCUGCCUGCCUGCAGGGAGCAUGUGUUCUUGGCUGUAUUUUUCUUGUCGUAAGCUUAGAGGGCUGGCACUGUACUUCUAAGAAGGGGCCUUUGGCUAUCCAGUGUUACCUGCCACUGGAUGUGUAGGUCUAAUUCAGUAGUGAGAUAUUUGUAAGCCUAGUUGGCUGGUGUAUUGGCAGAUGUAAGCCAC
rnacentral:lncRNA from 10 species